rnacentral:rRNA from 1 species
UACAGAGGUCUCGAGCGUUGUUCGGAUUCAUUGGGCGUAAAGCGCACGUAGGCGGCUUUCUAAGUCGGGGGUGAAAUCCUGGAGCUCAACUCCAGAACUGCCUUCGAUACUGGAAAGCUCGAGUCCGGGAGAGGUGAGUGGAACUGCGAGUGUAGAGGUGAAAUUCGUAGAUAUUCGGAGGAACACCAGUGGCGAAGGCGGCUCACUGGUCCAUUACUGACGCUGAGGUGCGAAAGCGUGGGGAGCAAACAGG